CAUGAGANGAAAAGACGAGAAAGCGGUGGGCAACUCCUCUAAGUACAGUUGUUUUUACCGGUGAGUAACACGUAGAACAAUUUACCCUCUAGUUGGGGAAUAACCUCCGCGAAAGCGAGGGCUAAUACCGCAUAACAUCCCUUAGGUCGCAUGGAUUGAGGGAUCAAAGGCGAAAGUUGCUUGAGGAGGAGUUCGCGGCUGAUUAGCUAGUUGGUGAGGUAACGGCCCACCUAUGCUGCGAUCAGUAACCGGCCUGAGAGGGCGAACGGCCACACUGGAACUGAGACACGGUCCUGACUCCUACGGGAGGCAGCAGUG
rnacentral:sRNA from 1 species